UACGAAGGGGGCUAGCGUUGCUCGGAAUCACUGGGCGUAAAGGGCGCGUAGGCGGCUGAUUUAGCCGAGGGUGAAAGCCCGUGGCUCAACCACGGAAUGGCCUUCGAUACUGGUUGGCUUGAGACCGGAAGAGGACAGCGGAACUGCGAGUGUAGAGGUGAAAUUCGUAGAUAUUCGCAAGAACACCAGUGGCGAAGGCGGCUGUCUGGUCCGGUUCUGACGCUGAGGCGCGAAAGCGUGGGGAGCAAACAGG
rnacentral:rRNA from 1 species